GCUGACGACUGUACCUCUGACCUCCAAAUUCCUUGGAGAACUGGACCGCCUGAACGACGACCUGAUCAGGUUUUUCAUACCAAAGGUGGAGCCACAGGAAGAAAGAUCAGAGCCGUGAUGGCAAAGACGGAUAAUAGUGAAGACAUCAACAUGAGGCGUGAUUGUGUGCUGAGCUGUCUGAACAUCUACCUCAAUGAAGACCUGGACACACUGGUCAAAGAAUAUGUGGUAAGUAUGUCAUACUUCUGUCCUUUGUGCCAGAUGUAAUUAAUUUCCCUCCAGGUCUACCUGAUAACAUGUGGCGUUCAUGAGAAUGGGAUGGACAUUAGGUCACAUUGACCUUGACCACCAGUAGUUUGUCAUUGAGUCCAAUGGGUUGUUUGUUUUGAGUAAGAAAUUCCUUCAAGGCAAUGGUGGUAGUGCUGUCACUUGUAGGAAGCAAAUCCACAUGGUCCGGAGGAGUCUGAGGUUAGGGCUCGGGUCCUGGCACCUAAACGCCUCCAAUAUGCCAGUGACGACAAUUCUGCCCCAAACAAGAAGGAUGCAUGUUGUGGACUGUCUGCUUAUGAACUCAAACGCCUUGAGAACAUCAGAGAGAGGGAAGCCGUCUUGUCUUCCUUGAAGACAAUGCAAGAAGCUGAGGAUCUGAGGAAUUCACUAAAGCCAAAGCCACAUGUCAAGAGGUCAAAGACUUCAUUGGAUAAAGUCUCUUUGGUCUCCCCUGAAAUCAGCACGGAACCUUACCCUCAGAGGAGGACUAACCUAUGAACAUGUAAGUUACUAUCUUAUGUUUCAUGUGCACCAUUAAGAAAUCACUAAAUUAAAGGAUUAAAAGUAUUACUGUUCAGCAAUAAGACACUACAUGCCGUUGUUUACGGCACAGAGUACCCACAAACACAGUAAAAAAGGGCAAUGAGGUUCUUUAACCUUCAUUGUGAUCAACAAUGCUCAAAGACCACUUUUUAUCAUUUUUAAAUAGUUGAUGAUCAUUAAAUGUACAACUCCAUUUAGACAUAAUGUAACUUUUUGACUUUUUUUUUUUGUCUUCCAGGCUUUUAGGGAGUCAAAGAUCUUGAGGCCUUUGCGACCUUGAACUUGUGUCCCUCUCAUUCUCAUGAACACUAUAUCUAAAGUGCCUUAAGGGAAUUUCUUCAAAUAACCACGCACUUGGCCUCAGUGAUGAGCUGCUUAGAAUUUGGUGGUCAAAGGUCAAGGUUAGGGUGACACAGCUCAUUGUUCUCUGUUCCCUCCAUCUUUCAG